AAUUGUUUUACUUAUGUUAUAUAAAUAUUAUAAAAUUUGAAUCUUGUGAGACUCUAACCUCAAUCGCACAACGUACAUCUCGUGCAUUAGGCGCGCUUUCCCCUAGUGGAUGCUAUAAUGACGAAAGAGAGACGUUGUUUUCUUGCAACUUGACUUUAAUCAGGAUUCUGCCAAUUAUUCUUACAUCAUUCGGACAACUGUUCUUCUUAAAAUUUAAAAGAACGUAAAGAAUAACUGAAGUUUAUAAAAGUUGAAGAAAUUUUCACAAGGAUUAGAACAGCCUGCGACCACAUCAUCGGCAGGUUAGUUGAGUGACAUUAGUCUGUAUACUUUGUUGUAAUUGUUUCAGAUCAGAUUUCGCUUUUUAUUUAUUUCAGUAAUCUAAAAAAGAUGGUUGUACGAUACCUUUAAGAGUCACAUAGUUGCAAUACAAUAUUAAAAUAAAAUUAUAACAUUUGUCAUUAUUCUCUUACCUAGCCUGCCAUAAGAUAAUGACAUACUUGAAGAACUAGGAGGUACACCUUUGGAUAAUCCUUUUGAUAUGAAUUGCUCUGCCAAUUCUUUAUAUAAUGGUUCGCUAAGCUUAAACAGAGACAAACUUCGGUGAAUUUUUUAUCAAUAGCAUACACCAGCUUACAAGAAAGAGAAUUUUGGUAAAACUGAACUCAAAUGGAAGCGCUUGCACUCAUGUCACUAUCAUGUCCUGACAAUUUCGGAUUUUAUAAAACUAUAGGAGACGUGAUUGACGUUGAGAUUGUAAUUGACAGCUGGAGCAAAGCUAUAAUUUAGUUCAACAUUACGUGAAGUUUAUUUAAUGUUUUUCUCUUAUUUUCCCUCGUUUUUUAUGUUUUUAAAAAUUAUUUUUAAAAUAUAUUUACUAAUAAUCAUAAAGUAUAAUAUGUAUACAUUUGUUUAGAUAUAAGUUUAUU